rnacentral:rRNA from 1 species
GGGGUGCUAAUACAUGCAGUCGAGCGGACAGAUGGGAGCUUGCUCCCUGAUGUUAGCGGCGGACGGGUGAGUAACACGUGGGUAACCUGCCUGUAAGACUGGGAUAACUCCGGGAAACCGGGGCUAAUACCGGAUGGUUGUUUGAACCGCAUGGUUCAAACAUAAAAGGUGGCUUCGGCUACCACUUACAGAUGGACCCGCGGCGCAUUAGCUAGUUGGUGAGGUAACGGCUCACCAAGGCAACGAUGCGUAGCCGACCUGAGAGGGUGAUCGGCCACACUGGGACUGAGACACGGCCCAGACUCCUACGGGAGGCAGCAGUAGGGAAUCUUCCGCAAUGGACGAAAGUCUGACGGAGCAACGCCGCGUGAGUGAUGAAGGUUUUCGGAUCGUAAAGCUCUGUUGUUAGGGAAGAACAAGUACCGUUCGAAUAGGGCGGUACCUUGACGGUACCUAACCAGAAAGCCACGGCUAACUACGUGCCAGCAGCCGCGGUAAUACGUAGGUGGCAAGCGUUGUCCGGAAUUAUUGGGCGUAAAGGGCUCGCAGGCGGUUUCUUAAGUCUGAUGUGAAAGCCCCCGGCUCAACCGGGGAGGGUCAUUGGAAACUGGGGAACUUGAGUGCAGAAGAGGAGAGUGGAAUUCCACGUGUAGCGGUGAAAUGCGUAGAGAUGUGGAGGAACACCAGUGGCGAAGGCGACUCUCUGGGUCUGUAACUGACGCUUAGGAUUAUAAAGCGUGUGGGAGU